rnacentral:sRNA from 1 species
CGGCAGGAGGGAAGAUGGCGGACGAGGAGAAGCUGCCGCCCGGCUGGGAGAAGCGCAUGAGCCGCAGCUCAGGUGCCGCGGGGGUCGGGGCUGGGGCGGGACCGCGCGGGCCCGCGUAAGCAGGUCUCGAGCUCGCCCCUUGGGCGCGGCGGCAGCGCUGCCUCCCUCCCAUGGGGUCCUGGCUCCUCCGCGUCGUCCCCGGGGUAACGGCCCCGGCCCGCCCUGUUGUGGGGACUGCGAGCCUCAGGAGCCACCGGGAAGCCUGAGGAAGCUGAGGCAGGGGGCUGGGCGGGUGAGGGUCCGGGGAGUCCGGGGCGAUGGCCCUGGCCCUGCCGGCCCGGCCGAUACCUCUCGGCCUAAUGCACCUGACGCCCCGGGGGGACGUCUCUGCAUCUUGCUGGGCCCGGGGGCACCCCUGGGAAGGAGACACCCCAGUACCCUGCAAAGGGCGUAGGGUGUUGCCCGGCCUUGGGUCCACAACCUACCCCUGCUAACACCCCUACUGUGUACACCUAAUGCUGAGUCUGCGACAUCGCCGGUGACAUUCUGCCAGAUGAUGGCCCCUGUGCUUAGGUCCGAUUUAAGGGUUAGCCACAAUGAUAAUAUUGCCGGUAACAGGGCAUGUUUGUCUCUGUGUCAAGCGCUUUAAGUUCUCUCUGAAUUGCCGCAACUCUGGGAGCCGGGUAGUUAUUACUUCCAUCUUACCAGCAAGGAAACUGAGGUCAGAAAACUGAAGGAACUCGUCCAAGAUCAUUCAUUUCAGGGGCCGGGGGUUGGAUUAGGACCUAGGCAGUUUGCCUCCAAAUCCCCCUGCCCGUGUCACUGCAAACUCCUGAGGAGCAGGCCCAGCAUCUGUGGGCAGGUCCCGAGUCGCUCUGCUGCCUCUAGAGCCCAUAGCAAUCGCAUUUGCAGUAAUAAUUCUCCUUGGUUGAGUGCCAGGUUCUGGUGAACGGUUUGGAUACAUGGACUCUCCUCAUUAACCCCAUGAGGUUUGAUCUCCUUAUUCUCUAUUCACCAUUUUUCAGAUGAGAAAACUGAGGUGCAGGGAGAUUAGAGCCCAUUGCCAAGGUUUUAGAGUGAGUCAGUAGCUCAGCUGCAUUUGCACCUGGAACCCGCGCUCUCGCCCACCCUGCUCUAGCCCUGGCCUGUGGCUGGGACCUCCAGCAUAAACCGGAUGCUCUGCCCAGCUCUGGGCCCAUUUCUGCUGUUUCUGCUCAGUUCAACCCUGAUGGCUUCCUUUAUGGGUGACACUCCAUGUCACCCAGGCGAACUGUCAGCCUUUGGAGUGGCACCCAGUAGGGUCUUUACUUCCAGCUUCUUGUUCACAGUCUUCACGCCUUCGUACCCGUCACUCCCUGGGUAACAUCGGGCCACCAGUAAUGCUGGUUGCUAGCUCUGCAACACCGUGUACGGUGUAGUAGCUAAGAGCAGAGCUUUCGGGUGUGAAGUACCUGAGUACAGUUCCUGCCUUCCCCUGUGUGUGCCUGGAACAGAGUAAACACUCAGGAAGCGUUACCCAUUGCUGCCAUUCCCAGAGAUGCAAAAGGUGAGGCCUCCAUUUUGCCAUCUAUACAAUGGAGAUAAUAAAGGCUAUCCCACUCUUAAUGUGUGCCAGUUUCUGUCCUAGGCAUUUUGCAGAUGUGUGAGCUUAUUUAGUGCUUUCUUCUUCUUAUUUCUGGAGAUGGUCUCACUGUGUGGCUCAGGCUGCAUUGCAGCCUCUGCCUCCCAGGCUUAAGCAAUCCUCCCACCUCAGCCUUUCAAGUAGCUGAGACCACAGGCGUGUGCCACCACCCAUGGCUAGUUUUUUAUUUUUUAUUUUUUGUUUGUUUAUUUAUUUAUUUAUUUAUUUUGAGACAGAGUCUCACUCUGUCGCCCAGACUGGAGUGCAGUGGCAUGAUCUUGGCUCACUGCAACCUCCGUCUCCCGGGUUCAAGCGAUUCUCCUGCUUCAGCCUUCCCAGUAGCUGGGAUUACAGGUGCCUGCCACCAUGCCGGGCUAAUUUUUUAUAUUUUUAGUAGAGGUGAGGUUUCACUGUGUUGGCCAGGCUGGUCUUGAACUCCUGACCUCAGGUGAUCCGCCCACCUCAGCCUCCCAAAGUGCUGGUGCAGGCGUGAGCCACUGUGCCUGGCCAAUGUUUGUUUUUUUUUUUUUUUUUUUUAAUGAGACAGAGUCUUGCUCUGUCGCCCAGGCUGGAGUGCAGGGGCACGAUGUCAGCUCACUGCACCCUCUGCCUCCUGGGUUCAAGUGAUUCUCCUGCCUCAGCCUUCUGAGUAGCUGGGACUACAGGCGUGUACCUCCAUGCCCGGCUACUUUUUUGUAUUUUUAGUAGAGAUGGGGUUUCACCGUGUUAGCCAGGAUGGUCUCAAUCUCAUAACCUCAUGAUCCACCCUCCUCAGCCUCCGAAAGUGCUGGGAUUACAGGUGUGAGCCACCGCACCCGGCCCAAUGUUUGUAUUUUUAGUAGAGAUGGGGUUACACCAUGUUGGCCAGGCUGGUCUCUACCUCCUGACCUCAGGUGAUCCACCCCACCUUGGCCUCCCAAAGUGCCAGGAUUACAGGUGAGAGCCACCGUGCUUAGCCCUUUUUUAAAUUUUUAAAAAUUAUUAUUUAGUCCUUUCAAUGACCCUAAGGUAGGAACUGUUAUCUCCAUUUUACAGGUGAGAACACCGAGGCCCAGGGAAGGUAGAUCACAUUUGAACCCAGAUUCAGAUUUGAAUCCAGGUGGCCUGGCUGCAGAGUGCAUGGUUUGAAUCACUCCCUGUCCCCCAGCUUCCUCUGUUCCAUCACCCUGGGUUAUUUUCCUCCUUGAAGUUAUCAGGGAUUGAUACUAUCCUGUGUUUCGUUUGCUUGUUUAGCACCUGUCUGCUCUCACCUAGAAUGUUAGCUCUCUAAGGGCAAGGACUGUAUCCUGCCACAUUGGCUCAUGUCUGGAGAGCUUGUGGCACAUGGUGGAUACACUAUGGAUUUGUUGAAUGAAGGCACCCCCUGCAAGCCAGGCCCUUACCCUGGCUUCUGGCUGUGGGCCCAGGUGGUGUCCUGGGAGCACAACCCUAGCUGAAUUCCUGCCUGCCCUCCCCUCCAGGCCGAGUGUACUACUUCAACCACAUCACUAACGCCAGCCAGUGGGAGCGGCCCAGCGGCAACAGCAGCAGUGGUGGCAAAAACGGGCAGGGGGAGCCCGCCAGGGUCCGCUGUUCGCACCUGCUGGUGAAGCACAGCCAGUCAAGGCGGCCCUCGUCCUGGCGGCAGGAGAAGAUCACCCGGACCAAGGAGGAGGCCCUGGAACUGAUCAACGGCUACAUCCAGAAGAUCAAGUCGGGAGAGGAGGACUUUGAGUCUCUGGCCUCACAGUUCAGCGACUGCAGCUCAGCCAAGGCCAGGGGAGACCUGGGUGCCUUCAGCAGAGGUCAGAUGCAGAAGCCAUUUGAAGAUGCCUCGUUUGCGCUGCGGACGGGGGAGAUGAGCGGGCCCGUGUUCACGGAUUCCGGCAUCCACAUCAUCCUCCGCACUGAGUGAGGGUGGGGAGCCCAGGCCUGGCCUCGGGGCAGGGCAGGGUGGCUAGGCCGGCCAGCUCCCCCUUGCCCGCCAGCCAGUGGCCGAACCCCCCACUCCCUGCCACCAUCACACAGUAUUUAUUGUUCCCAAAAUGGCUGGGAGGGGGCCCUUCCAGAUUGGGGGCCCUGGGGUCCCCACUCCCUGUCCAUCCCCAGUUGGGGCUGCGACCGCUAGAUUCUCCCUUAAGGAAUUGACUUCAGCAGGGGUGGGAGGCUCCCAGACCCAGGGCAGUGUGGUGGGAGGGGUGUUCCAAAAAGAAGGCCUGGUCAGCAGAGCCGCCCCGUGUCCCCCCAGGUGCUGGAGGCAGACUCGAGGGCCGAAUUGUUUCUAGUUAGGCCACGCUCCUCUGUUCAGUCGCAAAGGUGAACACUCGUGCAGCCCAGCCAUGGGCCCUCUGAGCAGCUGUGCAGCACCCUUUCACCCCCAAUUAAACCCGAAACCACU